AAUGCGAAGGGAUGAAAUAUAGUCCCUAAUAUCAUCAAUAACUUGUCCCUAAUAUCCAAAAUUGAGCGAGACUAAACCCAAAAUAAAAUAUUGCUCUUAAAAAAAAUAAUCAGGAAUGGGUACUUUAACUAAAGCAAAUAUCAUCCUUCAAACCUAAUUUCAUCUCAAAAAAACCCUAGACCGCUUCUCUAUGCGAGUGAAAAUCAUCGUUCCUCUUCUGCCUCUAUUUUGUUCAUCUAUGUUCCGGGUAGAUCGAGCAAUAACGAAAGGACACAAACAUACAAAUCAUUCUGGGUGUGGACUUGACCAUGAGCCCAAGAACUCUCCGAAAUUCUAUCUCACAAAUCUGAAGAUUGAUUUCAAGUGUCUAUGGAUGCUCAGUGUUUUUUGACGGUCCUCUGUUUCUUUAUUUCAACGUUUUUGAGUUUGUACUAGAGAAGACAAACAAACACUUGAACCAGAACAUAUUUUUGAGGCUUUUAGGUGCUUCAUCUUACCUUGUAAGUCUACUUUUAUGUGUAUCUGCUGCACAUUAAUUUUGUUUUUCAAUUCCUUGAGAUAGUACUUUAUUUCUCUAUUUACUUAUGCCUGAAAAGUGAUAUCAAGUGUUAUCGAUGACCAUGCAAAUAUUCUUCAUGAUUUUAACUGGUGUUUACAUUAUGUGUAAAUUAUGGUUGCUUUCUGGUUCUUAAGGAACAUACACACCAAAGAAAGCAAUAGAACCAAUUUUAAACAGUGAUGUAUAAUAGUAAAAUAAUUAUUUUCAUCACUGGCCAUUCAAAAUG